UUAUGAGUCAUACUCAUUUGGAUGAUAUAACCAAUAUCCAUAUAUGGUUUGUGUACAUGGAUUCUUUAUAAGAUCCCAUGGCAACUAGCCACUUCUCAAAAAUCAGGUCAUUUGCGACCUUCUAGUAAGUCAGGUGCUCAUCUUCCAUGAGCAUCAUAUCACCUUGUUGAGUCAUGACAAAAUCAUGUUUCUCAUCCUAGUGUUAUGACAUAUCAGACUCAUCUAGAUCAUGUGCUACUCGAACUACCGAUUUACCAACAACCCUUUGUUGAAUCAGUUCAUGUUCCAUUCUUAGAGAAACAUGUAUUUUGUGGUACUUGACUUAAUUCAAGUUCUACAUCACUCCCACUAGCUCUUGCAAAGUUAUACUCCUUGAAAAGGAAUACUCCAGUACUAGCGACAAACAACUUUUGUCAAGGAAGAAGAUGUAGAAAUAGUAUCCUUUAGUUUCCUAAGGGAACCUCCACAAGUAUACAUUCAUUUAAUUUGAAGUUUAGUUUAUCUAGUAAACCAUAUAACCUCAAAUUAUCAUAAAGUCAAAAAUAGGUACUCUUACCUCCAUAUCUAAUAUGGUGCAUUUAUGAUUACUCAAUUAGAACUUGUUGUGGGUGAAGAAUAACUGUAAUUUAAUUAAUUUCAAGAGUCUUUGAGUUAUAAUCAAACUAUUUUAGAUCGAG
rnacentral:lncRNA from 1 species